ensembl:lncRNA
CUGACAGGAGGUGAGGGGGAGGAGAGUUUGACUGAGGUACUGCUUCUCUUGGUUCUUCCUGUGGAGUUGCUGAGGGCUGGCUGACUGCAAACACCCAAGGUCACAGUUCUAACAGACAGGGCCAGUCCAGAGGACAGUCAGAGGAAUUCAAAGGAAGAAAGAAGCUAGAACACUCAAAUACAGAGGAACAUGGAGAGCUCAGGGCCUCCCAGUGGCGCUAGUGGUAAAGAAUCUGCCUGCCAACACAGGAGAGGGGAGAGAUGUGGGCUCUGCCUCUGGGUCGGGAAGAUCCCCUGGAGGAGAGCACGGCAAGCCACUCCAUAUUCCUGCCUGGAGAACUGCGGCAGGUGAGUUUUCAUUGCAGCACAUGGGAUCUAGAAUGUGUGGACUUAGCUAACCCUCGGCAUGUGAGAUCUUAUUUCCUCCAUCAGGGAUUAAACCCACGUCUCUUGCAUUGGAAGGCAGAUUCUUAACCACUGGACCACCAGGGAAGUCCUCAGUUUCUGCCUUUAAGGUUAUCUGCAAAUGGGAGGAGAAGAGAAAGAAAAUGAAAGAUCAAUUAGCG